UUAGUAUUAUGAUUUUGAUAUGAAACAAGGUUGUCGAUUAUUUUGAUACCUUGCUUAUUUUGUGAUUGGAAGUACCCUCGGGGACCGACCGCCGGUCCAGUUACAAUUUUGGCCAAUAUGUGCCUUGGAUCCCUUAAAAUUUGGUGACAUGCUUCGUGCAUGAUCCGGUGCUAUCUCGCGACUGAUCAUCGGCUAUAGCAUAGCGUGAAAUUAUUCCAAUCCCUAAAAAUGUUGUGGAAGGUUUAUAUAGUAAUGCUAUUCUUUAUUAGCAUUAAGUUUCAGAAAAGUUUUAUAAAUUAAAUUCGAAGUUCAUAUUGUCGCUGAAGCAUUUGUUGCCCAGUGAUAGUUAGAGCCAAGAAUGAGUUGAGAUCUUCUUAUCUGUUCAACCCGUCAUGGUCAUGCUGAUUUAGCAACUAAAUAUAUGGAAAUUUAGUCGACAAUGAUGGACACUGAAUAUUUAGGGAUUUCUUGAACUGUGGUUUAUGAACAGUUGAUUAUCAAAAGUUAUUUUGAACUUCUCAAAUCAUUUAUUUUUGAAGUUCUUGCAAAGAUAUUAUUUUAUGAGAUUUGCUGCAAUGCAAAUCAAAAUGGUUUUAAUGAUUUUGAAGUGAAUCAAUUAUUUGAUUCCAAAAUGUUUUCUCAUGAUAGAAACUUUCUCUCUCCAGUUUGGAAUUACAUUAUCAAUGUUUUGAAUAUAAAUCCAUGAUCUAUUGGAUUUGAAUUCCCUGCAUAUUAUGGAAUUACUUUAUUAUGAUUUUAAAGGUUUUCUUGCUGAGCAUUGUCGCUCACCCUUGCUAUUAUUUCUAACCCUUUCAGCUAGGGUUUAAGAUGAUUCAUCUACGUAAGCUGCGCAUAAGAUAGUUGUUGAGCGAGACUGCCAAGGAGAUGUCUGUGAGACCAGCUAUGGUUAGAAUUGUUUUAUUCCAGUUAAGUUAUAUAAUAGAUUUAUUUAUUUGGUUAUCAGUUACUCUUCUUAUCGAGGUUUAACUGAUAAUGUAGUUUAAGUUGUAAUAAGAUUUUAAGUUUUGGUUUCUGAUUUCAGUACUGUAACCUAUUAGCGAUCCUGUUUUUUUUUAGGGGGGUCAAGUGAUUUUGAUUUAAAUCUCUUUUAAAAUUUUCAGAUUUUGAAAUAUCUGUUUUACCUUCUUCCACAAAAUACAGGUUUUCAAAUGAUAUUGGUUUUAGUGGCACCAAAUCCAGACCCUCGGAUUUUGGGGAUGUCACAGUUGGUAUCAGAGCUAUAGGUUAUUAGUUAUUGAAAUCAGAAUGUAGGUUGUUUAAGGAUUGUGUUUAGUGGAACCUCAUAUAGAGGUAAGAUAAGACUAUUUGGCAUAGUCUUUGUUAAUAAAAUUGUGGUUAAUAUUGGAGUAUUGAUUUUGAGUAACAGUUGAGAUAUCCUAGUUUCUAGUUUUAGAACUAGUGAGUUUGGAUUUCAGAGAAACAUGAUAGAACCUUUAGUUUCCAAUCUUUUUGAAUUUGAGAUUGACUUUCUGAGUACCUAGUACUAGCUAGACCCGUGGGUUGACCUGUCUAGUCUAGAAUAUUUCUUUUCAUCUCUACCACUUCUUGAGUAUGGUAGAGAGUCAUUUAUUGAUUUUCUAGAGAUAUAUAUAGAAUGAGUAUGAGAUUUGUUGGGUCAGAGAUUCUGUGAUUUGAGAGUUAUGUAGAAUUCAUAUAAGACUACUUGACAUAGUGUUAUGAGUAGGCUAGAACGUCAACGCUCUACAAUGCUGAUUGUAUAAAGUUGAAGACGGCUUCUAACCGUGCCAAGCUAAAUAAGACCUUUUACUAAAGUGGAUUGCGAUGAUGAAAUCUUCAAAGAAGAUUAUAAGUCAACGAUGAUAUGCGUAAUUGAUCAUUAAGAACGUCGAGAAGAAUCGUUACAAACGACACAAGACAUCAGAGGAGCCAAUCAAGAAGAUAUUUGUGAGAAUCUUGGCAAUACCUUUCUCGUUGUUCAUUAUAUUGAUUAUUUCUCAAUCAAUGAUUUGUUUUAACAUCUCUUUCAUAAAGAUGUUUGUUAAAUUGAAUUGUGAUGGAGGCUAAUAUGAUACCUAACUUUUUAGGUUAUAUAAAGCCGUGUCAAGUUUAUGAUGUGAAACUUUCACUUUCUUCAAGUGGUGAAUGCUUCUAUUUCAAUAUAUCACCAUUUACUCGUUGUGUAUAAAUAUCCUUUCUAGUUAUUCUUUUUCUCCAGAAUAACACCUUUGGAAAUUCUUCAAUGUCGAUCCAAGGCGUGUAUCAAAUUUUAAUUCGUCAAAAGAUAAUGAUCAUUUAUUUAAUUUUAAAAUUCAUUUCAUAUUUAUUUUAUCUAACUGAGAUGAACAACCUUAUUCAUAGGGGACACAAGGACUAUCUGUCUGUGUGAUAGAAGUUUGAUGGGACGCCAUCACUUGUGUGUUGUGCAUUACAAGAAGGCUAAUUACCUUUAGUAGUAUCUUUAUUAAGAUACGCAACAUCAAGUUCUCUCGAUCAUAUUGAUCUCUCAGUGCUUCUUUAUUUCCAAUCAAUUUUGACUUGAAAAAUUUUAAGUAUGACAAUUACUUUGAUAUCUAAAUUCUGAGACAUUUUAAGAGUUCAUAAUUCUGGUUCCAAUCAAUUAUGAAGGUAUGCCAACCAGGUUGUGUGAGCUAAUCAUGCUAGUACAUUUCAAGAUUUCGUAUAAGAUUACAAUUAUUAAAGCAGAUCAGGACCCGACUUGCAAGCCAUAGCAUGCUGAAGUCUCUCUUCGCUGAUUUGGGUUUCACUAUACCUAUUUUUUAUAUAAUUAAGCACACUCAUUGUAAUGACUCGGGUUUUUUUAUUAAUUAUUUAUUAUUUUGGUGGUGAUUUUGUAAAAAGGGAAGGAAUAAAAUUUUAUAUUUUAUUCCAGUUUGUUGGAUUUUCAAAAAUAAAUAUUUUAUUAUAUAAUUAAUUCUCGGUCCAGUGAGAUGUUGGGAAUUUGAUUAUUUGAAAUAUUAUGUGGAUAAUAUUUUGAGGUGCAACUAUUUGAAAUUUUAUGCAAUCAUGUGAUUAUUUGAUUUAAUUGUGGUACAUGUUAUAUGAGCAAUCUUAAUUGUUUAUUUUUUUGUCCGAGUGAGUAGUUUAGAAAUUUAGUUUAUUUUUAUAAAUCAGAGUAGUUAUUUGAUUUAGGAAUAUCAGGAAUCUGUGUUUACUUAUAUUACAAAAUUUUGUCCGAGCGGUUAAGUUAGAAUUUAGAUUUAUUAUACUGUCUUCAUUAAAAUUGUUUUUAGUUUUUAAAAAUCAAAAUCUGUAUUUAAUUGCGUCAAUAUUUUAUUCAAGUGAACACUACCGAAAUAUUUCAGUUUUGGUAUUUUAAUGUUUUGACUGAUUUAAAAAUAUUCAAAAGUCUUGCGAAUGAUUAUUUUAAUUAUUUGCCAUUUUAAAAAUCAAUUAUGGGCAAUUAAAUAUAAGAUUUUCAAAUGAUUUAAAAUAAAACUUUUUACGUAUUUUACCCAUUCGGGAUUUUACAAGAAUUGUGGUAUAUUUUAUAUUGAUUUUGAAAAUUAUUUUUGAACCCCAAAAAUUAUUUUAUUGGCUUUUGAUAAAAUUGAGGGUGUGAUUUCUAGUAACAUAAAUUAGUUUUUAUUAAAAAGCAGGUGGAUCAGAGUAUACGUAGUAGCUGCAUAGAUGUGCCGUGUACUGUUAGUCAGUGGGUCCAUAGAUAAAAGAUAAUACUAGCAGAUAAACAUAUCACACAAAAAUACACGCUCGACUUAAGCCAAGAGAAUUAGGGUUUUGGGGAUUUGGGGGAAACCAUCAGAUGGGAUCAAGCAGAGAAACAAAGGUGAGGAUUGUUUUUGAUAUAUGUUAAAUCGUGUGUAUGAAUAUGUAUGCUAUUGUGUUGUUGAGAGAUAUUGUUGUACUGGAGAUGGAUAUGGUUCGUGUGUUGGCCGGAGGGAGCGGUGGUGUUAAGGCCGGCGGCGGCUCGCCGCUUGUGAAGUGGGUGUGUUUAAUGCGUCGGAGAUGGCUGAGAUGACAGGGUCGGUACGAUCAGGUGAGAAGGCGACUGUUUCGUCGCCGAUCGGAGCCGCGCGGAGGAAGGCAAACAGCCACCUAGCGGCUGUUCCGAUGGCCGGAAUCCAUGGAAGGCUGGGGAAGACGGCCUGAAGUGGAGAGAGAGAAAGAGAGAGAGGGGUGGCUGGGCUGUGGUGAUGCCGGAGUCCGGCGAGAGGACCGCCGGAAAAGAGGCAGCAGCAUGGGCUGUUGGAAUUUUCGGAAAGACAAAAACGAAUGUUAAUUUUGUUUUUAUUAUUUUUAUUAUUGUUAUUAUUAAUAAAUGAUAACAAUAAUAUAAAUAAUAUUAAUAAAAUUAAUAUAUAAUUUUGAUUGUUAUAUUUAAUUGCAAAGUGUAUUAUUAUUAUUAUAAUACAACGUGGUUAUUAAACAUAGACUGUGGUCCUCAAUUGUUGUAUCGGUUUAUUAUUGUUGAUAACAUGUUUAGUUAUAAAUUAGGGUGGAUUAGACAUGAGAAUUUGAUUGUGGUGGAUAAGUAUUGUGUUGGUUGUUUGUUGAUUGUUGGGAUUGCCUUAUUACAAAGGAAGUGCUGUCCGAAUUAUUAUUAUUAUUUUUUUUUUUUUUUUUACAUUUGGAUUUGAAUUGAGAAUCGAAUUAAGAUUAUAAUUCGGAUUCUGAUUGAAAUUUGGACAGAGAUUCUUGGAUUACUAGUUAUGAUUAAUUAUAAUUAAUAAAGCAUGUCAAUCUCGUGAUACGUGACAAUGUGAUUACGUGUUUAAAUUAUGAAUAUUACAUGUAUAUAAUAAUUGAAAAAUAUUUAUAUACCACGAAGGGUAGAAUUAGAUUUCGGUUCGAUUUCUUGAUUUAGACGACAAUCUGGUUUGUUCGUCAACUAAAUUACAUUUUGUUAUCAUAUAUAGUCGGCUGAGACUCGUUUAUCAAGGACGUUCAGAAUAGUUGAUUUGUGUUUUCAGAUUGUGUUGAGCCAGAAGCGAGUUGCCAAGGAAAUAUAUUAUUUUCGAGUUGCGUGACUGUGCAGUCACAAGUUGUUCUAUUAGAGGCAAGUAUCUUUAUCGACGACUUGCACUUAUUUCAAGUAAAAUUUUAUCUCGUCUAUUUAAAAAGAAUCAUUCAUAUUCAUAUUUUGCUAUGUCCAUUAGUAGUGCAUGUCAUAUAUUUAAAAAUACAAUAUUAUUAAUUAUCCCUUGUAUAACUACUACAAGUAUUCUGUUUGACAUCUCUUUAUAACCAAUCAUAUUUUAUUUUCUUCACUCAAUAAACAUUUUCUGCUACUGCACACAAGCAUUCAUGAUCUUUUGAAUCUCUUUAUAAAAUUUUAGUUGUUUUCAGCAUUUUAAAAAGAUAAGCUGAUUAAGCUUUGAAAUUAUUAAUUAAAGAUCUUCAAUUAUUCUCUCUCCUAUAUUUGAACAUGUACUCUUUACGAGUAUAUUAGUUACCUGAAUUACAUUACACAACUUCGAGCAUGAAAGCUAUUUUACUUGCAUCAUUAUGUUGGACAUGUGUACACUCACAUCAUGUUUACAAUAUUUUAUCAACUGUUGUUUUCUAUAAAUGUUUCCUCUGAAAAGAACUUUUAUUUAAUGUUCUAGAAAUGCUGAACUGUUAAUCUAACGGUUAGUAUUAUGAUUUUGAUAUGAAACAAGGUUGUCGAUUAUUUUGAUACCUUGCUUAUUUUGUGAUUGGAAGUACCCUCGGGGACCGACCGCCGGUCCAGUUACAAUUUUGGCCAAUAUGUGCCUUGGAUCCCUUAAAAUUUGGUGACAUGCUUCGUGCAUGAUCCGGUGCUAUCUCGCGACUGAUCAUCGGCUAUAGCAUAGCGUGAAAUUAUUCCAAUCCCUAAAAAUGUUGUGGAAGGUUUAUAUAGUAAUGCUAUUCUUUAUUAGCAUUAAGUUUCAGAAAAGUUUUAUAAAUUAAAUUCGAAGUUCAUAUUGUCGCUGAAGCAUUUGUUGCCCAGUGAUAGUUAGAGCCAAGAAUGAGUUGAGAUCUUCUUAUCUGUUCAACCCGUCAUGGUCAUGCUGAUUUAGCAACUAAAUAUAUGGAAAUUUAGUCGACAAUGAUGGACACUGAAUAUUUAGGGAUUUCUUGAACUGUGGUUUAUGAA
rnacentral:lncRNA from 1 species